rnacentral:rRNA from 1 species
UACGAGGGGGGGCGAGCGUUGUUCGGAAUUACUGGGCGUAAAGCGCGCGCAGGCGGUCUUCCAAGUCAGUGGUGAAAGCCCGGAGCUCAACUCCGGAACUGCCAUUGAAACUGUGAGACUUGAGGAUGAGAGAGGUGAGUGGAAUUCCCAGUGUAGAGGUGAAAUUCGUAGAUAUUGGGAAGAACACCGGUGGCGAAGGCGGCUCACUGGCUCAUUUCUGACGCUCAGGCGCGACAGCGUGGGGAUCAAACAGG